rnacentral:rRNA from 1 species
AUGGAGUGGCCGCUGCCGCCACUCCACUACCGCGCUGUGCCUGGCUUGCCGCAAGCCUCCGCCCUCCAUCACCAGUGCGCUGCCACCGCAUGGAGCUUACAGCGCCAAGAUUCCCUUGUGCGCCAUCAGCUACCACCUAGGCUGCGUGGCUACUUCCCACCCCGUUGUGCUUCAGAUUCUGUAGAGCUUCAGGUUCAGAGCUUUUCCCUUCUGAAAUUCAGUGAAGGGAAGGACUACCUGAGCGCUACCAGCAGUACAAGGAGUUUAGAAGGCAAGAGAUGGGUCAAUAGAUGA